rnacentral:rRNA from 1 species
AUUGAACGCUGGCGGCAUGCUUUACACAUGCAAGUCGAACGGCAGCGCGGGCUUCGGCCUGGCGGCGAGUGGCGAACGGGUGAGUAAUACAUCGGAACGUGCCCAGUAGUGGGGGAUAGCUCGGCGAAAGCCGGAUUAAUACCGCAUACGACCUGAGGGUGAAAGCGGGGGAUCUUCGGACCUCGCGCUAUUGGAGCGGCCGAUGGCAGAUUAGCUAGUUGGUGGGGUAAAGGCCUACCAAGGCGACGAUCUGUAGCUGGUCUGAGAGGACGACCAGCCACACUGGGACUGAGACACGGCCCAGACUCCUACGGGAGGCAGCAGUGGGGAAUUUUGGACAAUGGGCGAAAGCCUGAUCCAGCAAUGCCGCGUGUGUGAUGAAGGACUUCGGGUUGUAAAGCACUUUUGGCGGGAACGAAAAGGACUGUGCCAAUACCACGGUUCGAUGACGGUACCCGCAGAAUAAGCACCGGCUAACUACGUG